rnacentral:rRNA from 1 species
CCUACGGGUGGCAGCAGUGAGGAAUAUUGGUCAAUUUUCUUAAGCCUUAACCAUCCAAUUAUCUUGCGUGAUGAAGGCCCUACGGGUCGUAAACCGCUUUUGCACGGGGAUAAAACCCUCCACUUGUGGAGGUCUGCAGGUACCGUGCGAAUAAGGGCCGGCUAAUUCCGUGCCAGCAGCCGCGGUAAUACGGAAGGCCCGAGCGUUAUCCGGAUUCAUUGGGCUUAAAGGGAGCGUAGGCGGGCGUUCAAGUCAGCUGUAAAAUCGCGCGGCUCAACCGCGCCCCGCAGUUGAAACUGGACGCCUUGAGUUCACAACAGGCAGGCGGAAUUCGUGGUGUAGCGGUGAAAUGCAUAGAGAUCACGAGGAACCCCGAUUGCGAAGGCAGCCUGCCGGGGUGCGACUGACGCUGAGGCUCGAAGGUGCGGGUAUCAAACAGGAUUAGAUACCCUUGUAGUC